UUUGCUUACUUUGAGGUUUAUAUUCAUUGUACCAAAUUAAUAAUUUACUGCUAAUGGCUGAGGUUUGUCUGGCUUCACCAGCUAGUUUAGAAGAGCCAGGAGGUGCUGUUUUGCCAGAAGUGGAUUCUGAAUGGAUGUAUUUUAAUGCUUUACCUUCCUGCAGCAAACACUCAUUUGUUCUUUGUCCCAAAGUCAAGUGAAGAAAGUGAAGAACUUUAAAACUAAAGUUUCGGCUUUUGGUUUGAGGAAGGGUAGAAGACAAUGUUUAAUUACAUUGAGCUCUAAAGGUUGUCUUAGAUUUUAAUAGAAAAACUUCCAAAUUGUAAACCAAAAUAAACUCAGAUAAGGACAUAAUCUUUCUUUUCCCUCAGACUGCUUGAAAGAAGGAAAAGCAUCAAUUAUGCAAGAAAGCUCGGCUCUCCUCCCGGCGAGUGACAGGGUCGCUCUUCCCCCAGGACCUUGAAGCCCAGCAGCAGCCGGUGCCGCUCUGCCCGGGCCACUUCGCCUUCUUAAAUCCAUCGGUGGGGAGCAGCGGGGGCCGCGGCUGAGCCCCCGCAUCCCAUCCCAUCCCGUCCCGCGCCAGCGAGGGCUUUUCUUGGCGAAAACCUGCGAUUCCGGCGUUCCUCGGGAAUGAAAGAAAGUGACAUGUUGGAAGUGGGGGGAGAAAGAGAGAGAGGAAGGGCUGUCCCUUCUCCUGCAGGGCGGGAUCUUUCCUCCUGCUUGAUCUAUGGAGCCCGGCCCCUUAAAUUGGCUCCCGGGAGCGCCCCGUCCACCAGCCCGACGGGGGGAGAGGCGGAAAGCGAGGGAGAAGCAGGCAGGCGGGCGGGCGGCCGGAUCCCCCGUCCCGGCCCGUCGGUGUCGGUCCCGGCCCGUCCGCCCCCCGCGCACCAUGCGCGGCCCCCGGCGCCCCGCGCCCCGCCGGCCCGCCCGCCCCUAACGCCGCCCGGCUCCGGCGCCUUCCCCCGGCCGCGCUCCGGGGGGCGGGGAGGGGGGAGAAGGGGGCGAGAAGGAAGAAAAAAAGGAAGGAUAAAAAAAAAGGGGGGUGGGGGAAGGGGAAAGAGAGGAAGAAGAAGGAGGAAAAGAAGAGCCAAGAGAAGUGGGGAAGGCUGCUCUCCUCUGAGGACAGCGCGCAGCACCAUGCAGCUGGCGCCGCUGGCGCUGGCACUCACCACGCUCUUCAUCGACGGCUUGAGGAUAGGAGCGAGGAGGCAGAAGCUGCACCCCAGGCAAGCCAAGCUGCUGGAGAAGCUCAGCGAGUACGAGAUCGUGACUCCUACCCGGGUGAAUGAGUUCGGCGAGCCCUUCCCCACCGAUGUCCACUUCAGGCGGCGGCGGCGGAGCACCAGCGCUGCCCCCGACGCCUGGACGGCCGCCUCCGCCGCCUCCCCCAAGGCACACUACAGGCUCUCCGCCUUCGGGCAGCAGUUCCUCUUCAACCUGACGGCCAGCUCGGCCUUCAUCGCCCCGCUCUUCACCGUCAGCCUCCUGGGAGAGCCCACCGCCGACCAGCGGCGCCUGUACGCCGAGGCGGCCGACGCCGACGUGAAGCACUGCUUCUACCGGGGGCACGUCAACGCCCGCCCGCGGCACACCGCCGUUAUCAGCCUCUGCUCCGGGAUGCUAGGCACCUUCAAGUCUGACGAUGGGGACUAUUUUGUAGAGCCACUGCUAUCGCUUGAAGAACAGGAGUAUGAAGAAGAACACAAUAAACCACAUCUAGUCUACCGACACCGGACACCUCCAAUGAACUCUUCGGGGGACAGGCAGACUUGCGAUACUCCAGAUCAUGAACACAGUCACAAAAAGAACAAGCAGAAACACUGGAGAAGACAGUGGGCAGAAAGCACCCUAUUAUCAGACGUGGAGAUGUUGAAACACAGUCUGGAAGUGAAUUCGUUUCCUGCAGAUAGGAACAAGACUGGGAACAUCAGUGAAAAGAAGAGCCACAAGCGGACAAAGCGGUUUCUCUCCUAUCCUCGGUUUGUGGAAGUUAUGGUGGUGGCUGACAGCAGGAUGGUCGCCUACCAUGGAGCUAAUCUACAGCACUAUGUCUUAACGUUAAUGUCAAUAGUCGCUUCUAUCUACAAAGACCCAAGCAUUGGAAAUUUGAUUAAUAUUGUUAUUGUGAAAUUGGUGGUGAUACAUAAUGAACAGGAUGGUCCUGCAAUAUCUUACAAUGCCCAGACAACACUAAAAAACUUCUGCCAGUGGCAGCAAUCCCAGAACCAUCCUGAGGGGAGUCACCUUCAACAUGAUACAGCCGUGCUUGUUACCAGACAGGAUAUUUGUAGAGCGCACGACAAAUGUGAUACUCUGGGUCUGGCAGAGCUGGGCACAGUUUGUGACCCGUACAGGAGCUGUUCGAUUAGUGAAGAUAACGGACUGAGCACUGCUUUCACAAUAGCACAUGAACUUGGCCAUGUAUUUAACAUGCCACAUGAUGACAAUCAUAAAUGCAAAGAAGAUGGAGGUAAAAAUCAACAGCAUGUCAUGGCGCCAACACUGAACUUCUACACCAAUCCCUGGAUGUGGUCAAAAUGCAGUAGAAAAUACAUCACUGAGUUUCUGGACACUGGUUACGGGGAAUGUUUGCUUGAUGAACCUUCAUCUAGAACUUACACGUUGCCUCAGCAGCUCCCGGGGCUGAUUUAUGAUGUCAACAAACAAUGUGAGUUAAUUUUUGGACCUGGAUCUCAAGUGUGCCCAUACAUGCAGAUGCAGUGUCGGCGACUUUGGUGUAUCAACAUUGAUGGCGCACACAAGGGAUGUCGUACCCAACACACACCUUGGGCUGACGGGACAGAAUGUGAGCCCGGAAAGCACUGCCGGUUUGGGAUGUGCGUGCCCAAAGAGCGAGAGGCACCAGUGAUAGAUGGAGCAUGGGGGACUUGGAGCCCUUUUGGGACCUGCUCGAGAACCUGCGGCGGUGGCAUAAAGACGGCAAUACGGGAGUGCAACAGACCUGAGCCUAAAAACGGUGGGAAAUACUGCGUGGGGCGCCGCAUGAAGUUUAAAUCCUGCAACACCGAACCAUGCUCAAAGCUGAAGAAAGAUUUCCGGGAUGAGCAGUGCGCUGACUUCGAUGGGAAGCACUUUAACAUCAAUGGGCUGCCCACAAACGUGCGCUGGGUUCCCAAAUACAGCGGCAUCCUGAUGAAGGAUCGGUGCAAGCUGUUCUGCCGAGUGGCAGGAAACACGGCGUAUUACCAGCUGCGGGAUCGAGUGAUUGAUGGGACGCCCUGUGGCCCCGACACCAAUGAUAUCUGUGUGCAGGGACUUUGCCGGCAAGCUGGAUGCGAUCAUGUGCUGAAUUCAAAAGCGAGAAGAGAUAAAUGUGGUGUUUGUGGUGGGGAUAAUUCUUCAUGCAAAACUGUUGCAGGCACAUUUAACACGGUGCACUAUGGCUAUAAUGUUGUGGUCCGCAUCCCAGCUGGUGCAACUAAUAUUGAUGUGCGUCAGCACAGUUACUCAGGGAAGCCAGAGGAUGACAACUACCUGGCCUUAUCUAACAGUCAAGGAGACUUUAUAUUAAAUGGAGACUUUGUCGUCAGUAUGUUUAAAAGGGAAAUCAAAGUUGGGAAUGCUGUGAUCGAAUACAGCGGAUCGGAUAAUACUAUUGAAAGGAUUAAUUCUACAGAUCGGAUUGAGCAAGAAAUAACACUUCAGGUUUUAUCAGUGGGCAAUUUGUACAAUCCUGAUGUUCGUUACACGUUUAAUAUCCCCAUUGAGGACAAACCUCAGCAGUUUUACUGGAAUGCAUAUGGCCCGUGGCAGCCCUGCAGUAAGCUCUGCCAAGGAGAACGAAAGAGGAAACCUGUGUGUACAAGAGAGUCGGAUCAGCUCACGGUGUCAGACCAGCGAUGUGAUCGAAUUCCCCAGCCUGACCCCAUCAUGGAGCCUUGUAGCACAGAAUGUGAAUUAAGGUGGCACAUCGCGAGGAAGAGCGAGUGCACGGCCCAGUGCGGGCUGGGGUACCGCACCCUGGAGAUCUACUGCUCCAAGUACAGCAGGCUGGAGGGGAAGAUAGAGAAGGUCGACGACCGGUUCUGCAGCAGCCAGCCCAAGCCCAGCACGAGGGAGAAGUGCACUGGAGACUGUAACGUGGGAGGGUGGCGGUACUCAGCCUGGACUGAGUGCUCCAAGAGCUGCGGCGGGGGCACGCGGCGGCGGCGAGCCAUGUGUGUGAACACCUACAAUGAUGUUCUGGAUGACAGCAAAUGCAGCCAGCAGGAGAAGCUGACGGUGCAGCGAUGCAGCGACUUCUUGUGCCCCCAGUGGAAGACUGGCGACUGGUCCGAGUGCUUGGUGACCUGUGGAAAGGGGCACAAACACCGCCAGACCUGGUGCCAGUUUGGAGAAGAUCGAUUAAAUGACAGGUUUUGUGAUCCUGAAACGAAGCCAGAGUCAGUGCAGACAUGCCAGCAGCAAGAGUGUGCUUCGUGGCAAGUGGGGCCGUGGGGCCAGUGCACGACGACUUGUGGCCAAGGCUACCAGAUGAGAGUGGUGAAGUGUGUUGUGGGCACCUACGUGUCAGUGGUGGAUGAUAACGAGUGCAAUGCUGCAACCAGGCCAACAGAUACCCAGGACUGUGAAAUAGCAGCAUGUCCUCCCCAUCCAAAUAGUCCUGAAGCCAAGAGAUCCCUAUCAGGCAUUCACAGGACGCAGUGGAGAUUUGGAUCCUGGACACCGUGCUCCGCAACAUGUGGGAAGGGUACCCGGAUGAGAUAUGUCAGCUGUCGGGAUGACCAAGGCUCAGUGGCUGACGAGUCAGCCUGUUUCCACCUCCCGAAGCCAUCAGCCACAGAAAUGUGCACCGUGACACCAUGCGGGCAGUGGAAAGCCUUGGAGUGGAGCUCUUGCUCGGUGACUUGUGGUCAAGGUAAGGCAACGCGACAAGUGAUCUGCAUCGAUUACAGUGACCAGCUGGUGGAUAGGAGCGAGUGCGAUCCAGACGACCUCCCUGCCACUGAGCAAGACUGCUCCAUGUCUCCUUGUCAUCCAAACAGCCAUGACUACGGCAGGCCCAUCCACCCUUUCCUCUAUCCGGAUCAUCGCCUGAAACUGCACCCUGGAGGCAGCCCGAACCGAAACCGUGCACAUGUACCAGGAGGCAAUCAAUGGAGGAUUGGUCCCUGGGGUGCUUGCUCUAGCACAUGUGCGGGGGGGUUCCAGCGGCGGGUCGUGGUGUGCCAGGAUGAAAACGGAUACACCGCAAAUAACUGCGAUGAGAAAAGCAAACCCAUGGAGCAGAGAUCAUGCGAAUCUGGCCCCUGUCCUCAGUGGGUUUAUGGCAACUGGGGAGAGUGCACGAAGCCAUGCGGGGCAGGGACAAGAACACGGCUGGUGGUGUGCCAGCGCCCUAACGGAGAAAGGUUUACGGAUCUGAGCUGUGAAAUCCUUGACAAGCCACCAGACAGAGAGCAGUGCAAUGUGCAGGACUGUCCUAGAGAUGCUGCCUGGAGCGCUGGUCCUUGGAGCUCGUGUUCUGUCUCCUGUGGAAAGGGCCAAAAGCACCGCAGUGUAUACUGUUUGUCGAAGGAAGGGAGGCAUGUAGAAGAAGAUUAUUGCAAGCACCUUGCUAAGCCCAACGUGCAAAAGAAAUGCAGAGGGGGCAGAUGUCCGAAGUGGAAAGCAGGAGAUUGGGGACAGUGCUCAGUGUCCUGUGGCCAGGGUGUCCAGAGCCGCACCGUGCACUGCCACAGCGGCACCCCGAAGGCAGCCGAGGAAGCAGAGUGUGACCCAUCCAGCCGUCCCCCUCCACAGCAGGACUGCCACCUCCCUGAGUGCCCCACGCACCGCUGGGCAGCCGGCGAAUGGCAAGCGUGCAUGAAGACAUGCGGGGAAGCAUCCCGGUACCGCAAGGUGGUCUGCGUGGAUGAGAACAAGCAACCACAGAACAGCGGCUACUGCGACGCCAGCAAACGCCCUCCCGAAAUCGAGAGCUGCGGGCUGCCGCCCUGCGAGUACGUCUGGAUCACCGGAGAGUGGUCGGAGUGUUCCGUUACAUGCGGGAAGGGAUACAAGCAGCGCCUCGUGUCCUGCAGUGAGAUUUACACCGGGAAGGACCACUAUGAGUACGGGUACCAGAACACAGUCAACUGUCCUGGCACGCAGCCACCCAACAUCCAGCCCUGCUACCUCGGGGAGUGCCCCGUCUCAGCAUCCUGGCGCGUUGGCAACUGGGGAAGCUGCUCUGUCACCUGUGGAGUUGGAGUCAUGCACCGCUCAGUGCAGUGCUUGACGAACGAUGACCAGGUCAGCAGCUUGUGCCAUGCAGAUCUGAAGCCUGAAGAGAGAAGGACAUGCCACAACGUCCAUGACUGUGAAUUACCAAGGAGUUGCAAAGACAUUAAAAAUCUCAAAGGUGUCAUUGAAGAUGGCGAAUAUUUCCUUCAAGUCAAAGGGAAGACAUUAAAGGUGUAUUGCUCUGGGAUGCAGACUGACAGCCCCAAGGAGUACGUGACCCUUGUAAAUGGGGAUGAAGAGAAUUUUUCAGAAGUGUAUGGAUACAGAAAGGGUUUUCUUUUGAUUUAGAUUGCAUAACCCGACUGAAUGUCCAUAUAACGGGAGCAGACGAGAAGACUGCCAGUGUAGGAAAGAUUACACAGCAGCUGGGUUUUCCACCUUCAGCAAAGUAAGGCUGGACCUGAACACUAUGCAAAUAAUAACGACUGAUUUACAGUUUGCACGGACACAUGAUGGACGACCUGUUCCUUAUGCCACUGCUGGGGACUGCUACAGUGCAGCCAAAUGCCCACAGGGUCGCUUCAGCAUAGACCUUUAUGGGACAGGCCUGUCCUUAACGGGAACAGCAAAGUGGCUCUCACAAGGGAAUUACGCUGUGUCGGAAAUCCAGAAAUCCCCAGAUGGUACCAAAGUAGUAGGAAAAUGUGGCGGUUACUGUGGGAAGUGUACUCCAUCAUCUGGAACGGGCCUUGAUGUUCAGGUGUUAUAACCAUGGAUGUCUUUGAGCAGUCAGCGGAGAUGAGACGGAUGAAGGAUAGCGAUGCAAUACCUCUGCCUUCCACUUUUUUAUCUGUUUAUGUGUGUAUAUAGAUCGCAUAUUCUUAAUGUACAGUAUAAUAUUUAUGUUUGGAAUUAUUUAUUUUGAUUUAAUAUUUUUGUACGUAAAAUCAUUAUAUUAAGGCUGCUUUUCCUAUUUUUAUUUUUUAUUGUUAAAUCCUGCAGUCAAACCACUGCAUUUUGCGUACUCUACAUUAUAUGUAGCAUUAUGACAAGUGAUACUUUAUUGUCACUGUAUUCAGUUGUUUACUUUCAAUCAGUAAUUUUCCUUCAGUUAUGGGCUGCUUUUGCCCUCUACGGUGCUACACAAUCUGCAUAGGGGUAUUUUUGGCAUUUCAAUCUGUCUUUAUGUAAGGAAAAUAGACAAGAUGUGCUUAAAUUUUAUUUUUAGGGAUUAGGCCAACAGCACUUGAGGAAAACAGGACAAUGAAUACAGUGCUAGUUGCAUUAGCAAUCUUUAUCUUUUAGGUAUGUUUUGAAUUUCACAUGACCUCUGUGGCCAGUGCUAAAAGCGCUGGUUUGGUGCUAACAUGAUAUUUAUUAAUGCUCUGUAGUUUUAGUUAAUCCAGUGCCUUUAUCAGUGAAAAAGGGAAGAAAGCAGAAAAAUUGUCAGGUUCAAAUAAACUAAGAUCUGCCCCAGGUUUAGGAAAAUUCCUGCAGAUGGAUCUUCAGCUCAAGCCCCCCCCCUUUUUUUUUUUGUAGGGCUCUGAAGUGAACUUGCUUUUUAAAAACCGUAUCUUUGUCUCCUAAUUGCAUGUGCCACUGUGCUUCCUGCUCCAUCUGGAAGCGGGGUAUUAACUCAUCCCAGACAGGCUGAUCAGGCCAUAUGUUUCCCUGGGCUGUGUGCUGAGAAGUGAUGUGGGUUCUUAUGGAUGUUGUCACAAAACCCUAACAGGAAGCUGAAAGCAUCCCUGCCAUGUUAUCUCCCACGGGGCCGGUGUGGACCGCGGGGGAUGUGGGACAGCAAGCCCAGCCAAACCGCCCCUUCCUCUUGGCCAGGGGACUCCAUUGCAGGCACCUGCAACAUUUCCCCAGCUUCCUACUCACUCCCAGACCAUCUGCAAAGGGAAGCUUCAGCCUUAUUUCAACAAGAUCACUCUGUACUUAGAGAUAACUCUGCCCCCCCCCCUUCAAAAACAAGCUGCUUUACGCCUACUUCUGUAUUGCUUCGGAUCUUCCUGGUAAGGCAUCUGUGCUCCUUGCCUAUUUGCCAUCCCAUGUACAACCAGACCUUUAGCAUUGGCUUUUUUAUAUACAUAUAUAUAUAUAUAUAUAUGUAUAAAUUGAGGAGCCAUCUCCCAUAGGCAACGCACGUGGCUGUGCGAUGGCUCCUGCCUGUACAUAGCACGCCACCUUUGCGCAGAGCUUCGUAGCACGUUGAACGGGGGUGAUGUGACCAGAUUAUUUUUGUAGUCUAUGACUAUGUCCCUUAUCUCUUUCUCCACAAUUUUACUUAGUGAUAGUAAGAUGCUCCUAUGUCAGGGCAGCCAGGAGCACAAAGUACAAGGAAAGGAAGCUUUUCAGCACAAAAUUGCCAGCAGUUUGGAAAACCAAAGAGGCUUAUCUGCUACUUCAGAUAACUCUUUCGAUUUUGGAUGCAAAUAGUUAACAAACACAACCUCAGGAUCUUGUGUGAGUCUUUCGCGGAGCUCCCCAAAGGAUGUGUAAUCAGUCUGUUACAAAACAGUUGGAUCAAUAGGGACAAAUGAUCCAAUCCCUGGAUUCAUACCCCAUGUGCACUGGGCUGUGUUCAGCCUUCAGAGUGAAACCUGUCGGCCAGCCUUACAGACAGAUAUCAACACAUCCGUACCAGCUGGGAGACAUCUCGCAGGUGAGCAGCGCUGUGUUACAGUCCAGCAGCUACAGAACUGGUGAAAGAAAAAGGGAAAAAGGAACGGGAAAGGGGAAAAGGGAAAGAGAAAGAGGCAAAAAGGGAAAGGGGAAAGGAGUAGUAAUGGAAAAGUGAUUUGUUUUUAAAUGAUAAUUCCUUAUGUAUAACUUCCGCAGGGGAAAAGGGAAAAUUGCACUAUGAACUUUAGAAAGAAACAGUGGUGCUUAGAAAGUACAGGCUUAUUAUAUUUUCUCUAAUUAAGUGAAUGGCUAUUUAUAAAAAGAAAUACUAUUUUGACCUGUACACAUUCAUUUCUACCAUAUAGUUUCAUAGCAGCUAUUAACAGAGCAAGAGAAACCUAAAAGAAUAUUAAAUAAACUAUAAGGGGAAAAAAAAAGGAUAAAGCACUGAUCCUGUGGUUCAUUAAAGGGCUUCAUUAAAUAGGAACAGACUUUGAGGACCAGAGACAUUAGACAUUUCUUGUUCAGGAAACAACUCUGGGGGUUUUUUAUAUCAAUGUUAUUAUUUUUCUACAAACUGAGGUAUUUUUUGCAAGCACUUUCCUGUACAGUGUUUCUUUUCUCUCUGCUUGUACUCAAAAGGAAAUGAAAAGACCCAUAAGACAUGUCUGUAUGGUCUUUCUGCAUUUGCCAUUGUAUUUCAAUACCUGUGUGCUAUUAUAGAGGCAAAAUACUUUGUACACGAGGGAAUAAUACAUUGAAUGGUAAACAUUC